CCAAACAUAAUCCACGAGUGGAAUGGGGUUAUAACACUGUCACAUUGUGGAGUGAAAGAUGUCAUGAGUCUUGUCUGGUUUCUGCUUUUCCUGUUGUUUCUGUUUCUGUCUUACAGAAGGAGACCUCGGCUUUGCCAAACGUGCCUGUUGAGUAUCUGGACCUGAAGGAAGUGUUCAGAACAUGUUCAACACGUCAGAUGAGUGCUCCAGAGGUUAUUAGAGAAUGGACUUUUUGUCAAGGCGGAGAAGUGCGUAUUCCAUGCACAGUCGGUCCCCUUCCUAGGGUUUAUCGUGUCAUCUGAGGGAAUAGGAAUGGACCCUGACAAGUUCCUGUGCCACUCUCUCCUGCUGCCUCACGCCGUCAAGACCCGGACUCCUCACCUACACUCCACCACCGUCUGGACUUCCCACCGUCUAUCGUCUCCCUGGAGUGUUACCACCUCAUCGUCUUUGUGUGUCUUUGUACUAUAUCUCAUCAUCUCAUUAAACGUUGUUAACUCGCUAUUGUUUCCAGACUGUCUUUUCACCGGCCGU